UAUGGCCAUAUAACAUUGAAACUCCGAUUCUCGUACUAUCGCUGAAGUUAAGCAACGUCGAACCUCGUCAGUACAUGAAUGGGUGACCGCUUGGGAAUAAAAGGUGUUGUAAG